UAGGGAAUCUUGCGCAAUGGGCGAAAGCCUGACGCAGCGACACCGCGUGGGGGAUGAAGGCCUUCGGGUUGUAAACCCCUUUCAUGAGGGAAGAAGACUGACCUAACCUCAGGAAGAAGCACCGGCUAACUCCGUGCCAGCAGCUGCGGUAAUACGGAGAGUGCAAACGUUGUUCGGAUUCACUGGGCGUAAAGGGCACGUAGGCGGCUCGGCAAAUCGGUCGUGGAAUCCCGUCGCUUACCGGCGGAACGGCGGCCGAAAAUACCGGGCUUGAGGGCGUGAGGGGUCACUGGAACUCCUGGUGAAGCGGUGAAAUGCGUAGAUAUCAGGAGGAACGCCGGAGGCGAAAGCGAGUGACUGGCGCGUUCCUGACGCUGAGGUGCGAAAGCUGGGGGAGCAAACAGG
rnacentral:rRNA from 1 species